rnacentral:rRNA from 1 species
UACGAAGGGGGCUAGCGUUGCUCGGAAUCACUGGGCGUAAAGCGCACGUAGGCGGACUCUUAAGUCGGUGGUGAAAUCCUGGAGCUCAACUCCAGAACUGCCUUCGAUACUGGGAGUCUCGAGUCCGGGAGAGGUGAGUGGGACUGCGAGUGUAGAGGUGAAAUUCGUAGAUAUUGGGAAGAACACCAGUGGCGAAGGCGGCUAACUGGUCCAGUACUGACGCUGAGGUGCGAAAGCGUGGGGAGCGAACAGG